rnacentral:rRNA from 1 species
GGGUAAGAGCCUACCAAGGCGACGAUAGUUAGCCGACCUGAGAGGGUGAUCGGCCACAUUGGUACUGAGACACGGACCAGACUCCUACGGGAGGCAGCAGCUANNAAUCUUCCGCAAUGGGCGAAAGCCUGACGGAGCGAUGCCGCGUGAAUGAAGAAUGUCGAGAGAUUGUAAAAUUCUUUUAUAGGUGAGGAAUAAUAGCACUAGGUAAUGAGUGUUAGAUGACGUUAGCCUAUGAAUAAGCUCCGGCCAAUUACGUGCCAGCAGCCGCGGUAACACGUAAGGAGCGAGCGUUGUUCGGAAUUAUUGGGCGUAAAGGGCGUGUAGGCGGUUAAUUAAGUCUUGUUUGAAAGACCAGUGCUCAACACUGGAAACGGACAGGAAACUGAUUAACUAGAAUCCGGUAGGGAAAUGUGGAAUUUCUAGU